rnacentral:rRNA from 1 species
AUUGAACGCUGGCGGCAUGCCUUACACAUGCAAGUCGAACGGCAGCACGGGAGCUUGCUCCUGGUGGCGAGUGGCGAACGGGUGAGUAAUACAUCGGAACGUACCCAGGAGUGGGGGAUAACGUAGCGAAAGUUACGCUAAUACCGCAUAUUCUGUGAGCAGGAAAGCGGGGGAUCGCAAGACCUCACGCUCUUGGAGCGGCCGAUGUCGGAUUAGCUAGUUGGUGAGGUAAAAGCUCACCAAGGCGACGAUCCGUAGCAGGUCUGAGAGGAUGAUCUGCCACACUGGGACUGAGACACGGCCCAGACUCCUACGGGAGGCAGCGGUGGGGAAUUUUGGACAAUGGGGCAACCCUGAUCCAGCCAUGCCGCGUGAGUGAAGAAGGCCUUCGGGUUGUAAAGCUCUUUCGGCGGGGAAGAAAUGGCAACGGCUAAUAUCCGUUGUUGAUGACGGUACCCGCAUAAGAAGCACCGGCUAACUACGUGCCAGCCGCCGCGGUAA